AUCCUUUUUUGGUUCAUAAGCAUUGAUGAUUGGGUGUUCACAUGGUUGUGUGACAUGUGCCUCCCUCAAAAACCUUAUUAUGCAUCAGCACAUUACCCAUCUGAUG